rnacentral:rRNA from 1 species
UUGAAGAGUUUGAUCAUGGCUCAGAUUGAACGCUGGCGGCAGGCCUAACACAUGCAAGUCGAACGGUAACAGAAAGCAGCUUGCUGCUUUGCUGACGAGUGGCGGACGGGUGAGUAAUGUCUGGGAAACUGCCUGAUGGAGGGGGAUAACUACUGGAAACGGUAGCUAAUACCGCAUAACGUCGCAAGACCAAAGAGGGGGACCUUAGGGCCUCUUGCCAUCGGAUGUGCCCAGAUGGGAUUAGCUAGUAGGUGGGGUAACGGCUCACCUAGGCGACGAUCCCUAGCUGGUCUGAGAGGAUGACCAGCCACACUGGAACUGAGACACGGUCCAGACUCCUACGGGAGGCAGCAGUGGGGAAUAUUGCACAAUGGGCGCAAGCCUGAUGCAGCCAUGCCGCGUGUAUGAAGAAGGCCUUCGGGUUGUAAAGUACUUUCAGCGGGGAGGAAGGGAGUAAAGUUAAUACCUUUGCUCAUUGACGUUACCCGCAGAAGAAGCACCGGCUAACUCCGUGCCAGCAGCCGCGGUAAUACGGAGGGUGCAAGCGUUAAUCGGAAUUACUGGGCGUAAAGCGCACGCAGGCGGUUUGUUAAGUCAGAUGUGAAAUCCCCGGGCUCAACCUGGGAACUGCAUCUGAUACUGGCAAGCUUGAGUCUCGUAGAGGGGGGUAGAAUUCCAGGUGUAGCGGUGAAAUGCGUAGAGAUCUGGAGGAAUACCGGUGGCGAAGGCGGCCCCCUGGACGAAGACUGACGCUCAGGUGCGAAAGCGUGGGGAGCAAACAGGAUUAGAUACCCUGGUAGUCCACGCCGUAAACGAUGUCGACUUGGAGGUUGUGCCCUUGAGGCGUGGCUUCCGGAGCUAACGCGUUAAGUCGACCGCCUGGGGAGUACGGCCGCAAGGUUAAAACUCAAAUGAAUUGACGGGGGCCCGCACAAGCGGUGGAGCAUGUGGUUUAAUUCGAUGCAACGCGAAGAACCUUACCUGGUCUUGACAUCCACGGAAGUUUUCAGAGAUGAGAAUGUGCCUUCGGGAACCGUGAGACAGGUGCUGCAUGGCUGUCGUCAGCUCGUGUUGUGAAAUGUUGGGUUAAGUCCCGCAACGAGCGCAACCCUUAUCCUUUGUUGCCAGCGGUCCGGCCGGGAACUCAAAGGAGACUGCCAGUGAUAAACUGGAGGAAGGUGGGGAUGACGUCAAGUCAUCAUGGCCCUUACGACCAGGGCUACACACGUGCUACAAUGGCGCAUACAAAGAGAAGCGACCUCGCGAGAGCAAGCGGACCUCAUAAAGUGCGUCGUAGUCCGGAUUGAGUCUGCAACUCGACUCCAUGAAGUCGGAAUCGCUAGUAAUCGUGGAUCAGAAUGCCACGGUGAAUACGUUCCCGGGCCUUGUACACACCGCCCGUCACACCAUGGGAGUGGGUUGCAAAAGAAGUAGGUAGCUUAACCUUCGGGAGGGCGCUUACCACUUUGUGAUUCAUGACUGGGGUGAAGUCGUAACAAGGUAACCGUAGGGGAACCUGCGGUUGGAUCACCUCCUU